UACGUAGGGGGCGAGCGUUGUCCGGAAUCAUUGGGCGUAAAGCGCGUGUAGGCGGCCCGGUAAGUCCGCUGUGAAAGUCCAGGGCUCAACCCUGGGAUGCCGGUGGAUACUGUCGGGCUCGAGUCCGGAAGAGGCGAGUGGAAUUCCUGGUGUAGCGGUGAAAUGCGCAGAUAUCAGGAGGAACACCGGUGGCGAAGGCGGAUCUCUGGGCCUUACCUGACGCUGAGGCGCGAAAGCUAGGGGAGCAAACAGG
rnacentral:rRNA from 1 species